GCUCAGAUUGAACGCUGGCGGCGUGCUUAACAUAUGCAAGUCGAACGAAGCACCUUGAUUUGAUUCUUCGGAUGAAGAUCCUGGUGACUGAGUGGCGGACGGGUGAGUAACGCGUGGGUAACCUGCCUCAUACAGGGGGAUAACAGUUAGAAAUGACUGCUAAUACCGCAUAAGACCACAGCACCGCAUGGUGCAGGGGUAAAAACUCCGGUGGUAUGAGAUGGACCCGCGUCUGAUUAGGUAGUUGGUGGGGUAACGGCCUACCAAGCCGACGAUCAGUAGCCGACCUGAGAGGGUGACCGGCCACAUUGGGACUGAGACACGGCCCAAACUCCUACGGGAGGCAGCAGUA
rnacentral:rRNA from 1 species